rnacentral:rRNA from 2 species
UUGAUGUUCUAACGUGGACCCGUAAUCCGGGUUGCGGACAGUGUCUGGUGGGUAGUUUGACUGGGGCGGUCUCCUCCUAAAGAGUAACGGAGGAGCACGAAGGUUGGCUAAUCCUGGUCGGACAUCAGGAGGUUAGUGCAAUGGCAUAAGCCAGCUUGACUGCGAGCGUGACGGCGCGAGCAGGUGCGAAAGCAGGUCAUAGUGAUCCGGUGGUUCUGAAUGGAAGGGCCAUCGCUCAACGGAUAAAAGGUACUCCGGGGAUAACAGGCUGAUACCGCCCAAGAGUUCAUAUCGACGGCGGUGUUUGGCACCUCGAUGUCGGCUCAUCACAUCCUGGGGCUGAAGUAGGUCCCAAGGGUAUGGCUGUUCGCCAUUUAAAGUGGUACGCGAGCUGGGUUUAGAACGUCGUGAGACAGUUCGGUCCCUAUCUGCCGUGGGCGCUGGAGAACUGAGGGGGGCUGCUCCUAGUACGAGAGGACCGGAGUGGACGCAUCACUGGUGUUCGGGUUGUCAUGCCAAUGGCACUGCCCGGUAGCUAAAUGCGGAAGAGAUAAGUGCUGAAAGCAUCUAAGCACGAAACUUGCCCCGAGAUGAGUUCUCCCUGAGACUUAGAGUCUCCUGAAGGAACGUUGAAGACGACGACGUUGAUAGGCCGGGUGUGUAAGCGCAGCGAUGCGUUGAGCUAACCGGUACUAAUGAACCGUGAGGCUUAACCUUAC